rnacentral:piRNA from 1 species
GCCGAAUCUCUUCUGGCCACGAGCACCC